rnacentral:rRNA from 1 species
ACUUGUACUGAUUGAGAUUUUAACACGAAGUGAGUGGCGAACGGGUGAGUAACACGUGGGUAACCUGCCCAGAAGUAGGGGAUAACACCUGGAAACAGAUGCUAAUACCGUAUAACAGAGAAAACCGCAUGGUUUUCUUUUAAAAGAUGGCUCUGCUAUCACUUCUGGAUGGACCCGCGGCGUAUUAGCUAGUUGGUGAGGUAAAGGCUCACCAAGGCAGUGAUACGUAGCCGACCUGAGAGGGUAAUCGGCCACAUUGGGACUGAGACACGGCCCAGACUCCUACGGGAGGCAGCAGUAGGGAAUCUUCCACAAUGGACGCAAGUCUGAUGGAGCAACGCCGCGUGAGUGAAGAAGGGUUUCGGCUCGUAAAGCUCUGUUGUUAAAGAAGAACGUGGGUAAGAGUAACUGUUUACCCAGUGACGGUAUUUAACCAGAAAGCCACGGCUAACUACGUGCCAGCAGCCGCGGUAAUACGUAGGUGGCAAGCGUUAUCCGGAUUUAUUGGGCGUAAAGCGAGCGCA